CGUAGAUGAUUUAUUCAAUUCCAUGCACAAACAUGUACUUGAUUUGUUCAAUUUCAGACGCAACCAUCAGAUGCAUAGAUACAUCUCUCUCUCUCUCUCUCUCUCUCUCUCUCAGACAUUACUCUCUGUUUAACACAUUUUCUUCAUUCAUUCAUUGCUUUUUGACUCCAUUUUUCCUGCAGAUCACCUCUCCACUUCCCCCACACAUCCAUUGCAAUAUUCAAAUUUUCUUCUUCUUCUCUCUAUUCUCUUAUUUUCCCUAACGAUUCUCUAAAGAUUACGAGGACUUUCAAUCCUUGUUUUUGGCAUCCCAUUUAGCGAUUUUUCUGGUCCAUUGAAGAGUUUGUUUGGAGCUUUUUAUGGAUUUUGAGAUUGCUACAUCUAGCCCCUGAGUUGGGUAUUUUUUUUUUUGGUUCGAUUCAUUCUUUUGGGGAUUUGCUCGAGUUCCAGAUUCACGUGUGUUUUUUCUAUUUUUUUGUUGAUGCUCUACUUUUAGUUUUUGCAAGAUCUAUGUUUUCUUCUUCGCUCUUUUCUAUUAUUUUCUCUUAUGAUUCUCCGAAGACAAUGUGGACUGCAAGUUCUUUUGUUGGGAUCCCAUUUAGUGAUUUUUUGUGAUCCAUUGAAGAGUUUGUUUGGAACCUUUUAUGAAUUUUUUUUAUUUUUUUUUUAUCUUUCUUUUAGAUUACUCCAUAAAUUUCGAGCUUAAUAUGCCUCCACUAUGAGUUUGGUUCGUUUAUGUUGAGUUCAUUCUAUGGGGUUUGCUCUUUUUCGAAGCUAUUUAUGUCAUUUAUAGGAAGCUAAAAUGUGAAUUUUUUGGUUUCCAUUUCUCAUCUUUGUAUUUUCGGGUGAUUUAGAAUAAUUUCUUGUACGUUUUGGAGAUCUUAGUUUCUUCUUUCUUUGUUCAUUGUUAGGUCUACUUUAUGAAAUCAGAUGCAUUAGAUUUUAUUUUCCUUUUUCUUUGUUUGCAGUAUAAUUUGUCCGAAGAAGUUAAUGUCAACUAAUUUAUAAUCUCACUA
rnacentral:lncRNA from 1 species